rnacentral:rRNA from 1 species
UACGGAGGAUGCAAGCGUUAUCCGGAAUUAUUGGGCGUAAAGCGUCCGCAGGUGGCACUUCAAGUCUGCUGUCAAAGACCGGGGCUUAACCCUGGAAAGGCAGUGGAAACUGAAGCGCUAGAGUGUGGCAGGGGUAGAGGGAAUUCCCGGUGUAGCGGUGAAAUGCGUAGAGAUCGGGAAGAACAUCGGUGGCGAAAGCGGGUCUCUGGGCAGUAACUGACGCUGAGGAGCGAAAGCGUGGGGAGCGAACAGG